UACAGAGGCCCCAAGCGUUACUGAGAAUCACUGGGUUUAAAGGGCGCGCAGGUGGCGCGUUAAGUCCGUUGUGAAAUCCCUUGGCUCAACCAAGGAACUGCUUCGGAUACUGGCGUGCUUGAGGCUAGUAGAGGUCACUGGAAUUGACGGUGGAGCGGUGAAAUGCGUAGAUAUCGUGAGGAACGCCAAUGGUGAAGACAGGUGACUGGGCUAGUUCUGACACUGAGGCACGAAAGCGUGGGGAGCGAACGGG
rnacentral:rRNA from 1 species